GGGGACUUUCCGUUUUGAUUUUUUCUCGGAGUUCAGUAUUUUUGUGAUUUUCUUUUUUCCACCAAAAGAGUAUUAGUUUCAAAAACAGAAGUAUCUACAAAAUAAAAAUUUCACAAAACAUAGCAUCAAGGUAUAGAUCUCUGUUACUGGGAAAAGUGUAGUUGCACGAGAAGCACGUGUAGUGUGGGAAAAUAUUAAAUAGCUUUGGCCUUCCAGGUUAUCUAUCUGAGUUAUUUCAGAAGCACGUUACUAUCGAUCAGUCGUUACCCUGCUGAUUGACUUUCUAAGUCUAUAUUCUUCAGUGUAAGCUGGUACCAUUAGUCAGUGUUUCAUUACAUUUUGUUCAUUAUUUUUUUGUUAUUUUUUUGGUUAUUACGACAACAAAGGAUAUCAGUAAUUGACUUAAUUCUAAAUCGUCCUAUAAGUAAAAAUGCUACAAUAAUUGAAAUUCGUCGUAUUUUCUUUAUAAGAGAGUUUGAUAAUUUAUAGAUUAAAGAGGUCUGCGAAUAGUUUGUAGAGGACAGCAUUUGUACUAAGAUGUGUUUGUUCUCACACAUUUUAUGAUGAAUUGUAGAAAU
rnacentral:lncRNA from 1 species